rnacentral:rRNA from 1 species
AUUGAACGCUGGCGGCAUGCCUUACACAUGCAAGUCGAACGGUAACAGGUCUUCGGAUGCUGACGAGUGGCGAACGGGUGAGUAAUACAUCGGAACGUGCCUAGUAGUGGGGGAUAACUACUCGAAAGAGUGGCUAAUACCGCAUGAGAUCUACGGAUGAAAGCAGGGGAUCGCAAGACCUUGUGCUACUAGAGCGGCCGAUGGCAGACUAUGUAGUUGGUGGGAUAAAAGCUUACCAAGCCGACGAUCUGUAGCUGGUCUGAGAGGACGAUCAGCCACACUGAGACUGAGACACGGCCCGGACUCCUACGGGAGGCAGCAGUGGGGAAUUUUGGACAAUGGGCGCAAGCCUGAUCCAGCAAUGCCGCGUGCAGGAUGAAGGCCUUCGGGUUGUAAACUGCUUUUGUACGGAACGAAAAGCCCUGGGUUAAUACCCUGGGGUCAUGACGGUACCGUAAGAAUAAGCACCGGCUAACUACGUGCCAGCCGCCGCCGUAACAC